rnacentral:rRNA from 1 species
AACGAACGCUGGCGGCAUGCCUAACACAUGCAAGUCGAACGAGACCUUCGGGUCUAGUGGCGCACGGGUGCGUAACACGUGGGAAUUUGCCUCGGGGUAUGGAAUAACUCAGGGAAACUUGAGCUAAUACCAUAUAAUGUCUUCGGACCAAAGAUUUAUCGCCCUGAGAUAAGCCCGCGUAGGAUUAGCUAGUUGGUGGGGUAAAGGCUCACCAAGGCGACGAUCCGUUAGCUGGUCUGAGAGGAUGAUCAGCCACACUGGGACUGAGACACGGCCCAGACUCCUACGGGAGGCAGCAGUGGGGAAUAUUGGACAAUGGGCGAAAGCCUGAUCCAGCAAUGCCGCGUGAGUGAUGAAGGCCUCGGUGUAAGCUCUUUACCCGUACGAUGAUAAU